rnacentral:rRNA from 1 species
UAGAGUUUGAUCCAUGGCUCAGAACGAACGCUGGCGGCAUGCCUAACACAUGCAAGUCGAACGAUGCUUUCGGGCAUAGUGGCGCACGGGUGCGUAACGCGUGGGAAUCUGCCCCUUGGUUCGGAAUAACCGUUGGAAACGACGGCUAAUACCGGAUGACGACGUAAGUCCAAAGAUUUAUCGCCGAGGGAUGAGCCCGCGUAGGAUUAGCUAGUUGGUGUGGUAAAGGCGCACCAAGGCGACGAUCCUUAGCUGGUCUGAGAGGAUGAUCAGCCACACUGGGACUGAGACACGGCCCAGACUCCUACGGGAGGCAGCAGUGGGGAAUAUUGGACAAUGGGCGAAAGCCUGAUCCAGCAAUGCCGCGUGAGUGAUGAAGGCCUUAGGGUUGUAAAGCUCUUUUACCCGGGAUGAUAAUGACA